rnacentral:lncRNA from 1 species
CUCGAUCCACCACCGUAAAUAACAAAUUUUGUUGACAUUAUCGAGUCGAUUUGUAUCUCAUUAGAUCUCAAAGAAUUCAAAUCGAAAAUUGAAAUGGGGAAAGAGGGUGAGGAUGUGGAAGAUGGUGAGAUUUAUGAAAUUGAUGGAAGAGAUUAUAGAAGAGGAGUUUAAUAAGAUUAAUGAUGUUAAGGUGAAUAAUAGUGUUUGUUCAAAAAAAAAGGUGAAUAAUAGUGGGUGAC